CAGCAGCCACGGUAAUACGUAGGUCCCGAGCGUUGUCCGGAUUUAUUGGGCGUAAAGGGAGCGCAGGCGGUUUAGUAAGUCUGAAGUUAAAGGCAUUGGCUCAACCAAUGUAUGCUUUGGAAACUGUUAGACUUGAGUGCAGAAGGGGAGAGUGGAAUUCCAUGUGUAGCGGUGAAAUGCGUAGAUAUAUGGAGGAACACCGGUGGCGAAAGCGGCUCUCUGGUCUGUCACUGACGCUGAGGCUCGAAAGCGUGGGUAGCGAACAGGAUUAGAGACCCCAGUAGUCCCUGUCUCUUAUACA
rnacentral:rRNA from 1 species